rnacentral:rRNA from 1 species
UACGUAGGGUGCAAGCGUUGUCCGGAAUCACUGGGCGUAAAGCGCACGUAGGCGGGACGGUGCGUCGGUGCUGAAAGCGCCAGGCUUAACCUGGCGAGGCGUGCCGAUACGACCGACCUCGAGGCAGACAGAGGGUGGCGGAAUUCCGGGUGUAGUGGUGAAAUGCGUAGAGAUCCGGAGGAACGCCGGUGGCGAAAGCGGCCACCUGGGUCUGACCUGACGCUGAGGUGCGAAAGCGUGGGGAGCAAACCGG